rnacentral:tRNA from 1 species
CUUUUAAAGGAUAGAAGCCUAAUCC